rnacentral:lncRNA from 1 species
UGAUGAGCCGUCUCAGCCUCACCACACCCAAAAACACACGUGUGAGCUGUAGGAGAUAAAACCCGACGAGUAACCAGAUUCACUCUCGUGGGCAACCUGUCACGCAAUAAACGCCACGCAAGAAUGGAAACCUUCAAAGGAACCUGAGGGUGCCAAAUAAGAUUAUCCGCAGCAUCCAUAGUAACCAAAUCAUGAGAUAUCAGGAGCUGAUAAGCCCCCCUAACAGUAUACCCUGUAUCAGGAUCAGGCUGCCACUGCCACCUGUCCAAAGAAAUAGCUUGCAAGGAAAUGUUAGAAAGUAAAGCCUGACACUCCCCCAAC